UACAGAGGGUGCAAGCGUUAAUCGGAAUUACUGGGCGUAAAGAGUUCGUAGGUGGUUUGUCGCGUUGUUCGUGAAAACUCACAGCUUAACUGUGGGCGUGCGGGCGAUACGGGCAGACUGGAGUACUGCAGGGGAGACUGGAAUUCCUGGUGUAGCGGUGGAAUGCGCAGAUAUCAGGAGGAACACCGAUGGCGAAGGCAGGUCUCUGGGCCACUACUGACGCUGAGAAGCGAAAGCAUGGGGAGCGAACAGG
rnacentral:rRNA from 1 species